CAGCUAACAACAGCUAAUUAUCAACAGCUAACAACAACUAAUAGUUGCUAUCAACACCAAACAACAACUAGCAACAGCUAAUUAUCAACAGCUAACAACAGCUAUCAAUAGCUAACAACAGCUAACAACAACUCACAACAGCUAACAGCUGCUAUCAACAGCUAACAACCGCUAACAACAACUAUCAACAGCUUACAACAGCUAACAACAGCUUACAACAGCUAACAACAGCUAACAACAGCUAACAACAGCUUACAACAGCUAACAACAGCUAACAAUGGCUAAAUGUCACAACAUUAGGUGUCCAUUUUGUUUUUCUUAUUUGUUUUCUAGAACGCCGUUGACUCAGGUGUGACAUCAUCCCUAGUCCCAACAUCCGACCUCCGAGGAAACUGGAACGCCCCAUUAAAACGUCACAUCAAGUUGAUUUGAAA